rnacentral:rRNA from 1 species
CAGCCGCCGCGGUAAUACGAAGGGGGCUAGCGUUGCUCGGAAUUACUGGGCGUAAAGGGAGCGUAGGCGGAUGAAUUAGUCAGAGGUGAAAGCCCGGGGCUCAACCCCGGAACUGCCUUUGAAACUAGAUGACUAGAAUCUUGGAGAGGUCAGUGGAAUUCCGAGUGUAGAGGUGAAAUUCGUAGAUAUUCGGAAGAACACCAGUGGCGAAGGCGACUGACUGGACAAGUAUUGACGCUGAGGUGCGAAAGCGUGGGGAGCAAACAGGAUUAGAUACCCCAGUAGUUCUUGUCUCUUAUAC